AUUGAACGCUGGCGGAAUGCUUUACACAUGCAAGUCGAACGGCAGCACGGGAGCUUGCUCCUGGUGGCGAGUGGCGAACGGGUGAGUAACAUAUCGGAACGUACCCAGUCGUGGGGGAUAACUAUCCGAAAGGAUAGCUAAUACCGCAUACGUCCUGAGGGAGAAAGCGGGGGAUCGCAAGACCUCGCGCGAUUGGAGCGGCCGAUAUCGGAUUAGCUAGUUGGUGGGGUAACGGCUCACCAAGGCGACGAUCAGUAGCUGGUCUGAGAGGAUGAUCAGCCACACUGGAACUGAGACACGGUCCAGACUCCUACGGGAGGCAGCAGUGGGGAAUAUUGGACAAUGGGCGCAAGCCUGAUCCAGCAAUGCCGCGUGGGUGAUGAAGGCCUUCGGGUUGUAAAGCCCUUUGGCGGGGACGGAUGAUGACGGUACCCGCCGAAUAAGACUCCGGCUAACUCCGUGCCAGCAGCCGCGGUAAU
rnacentral:rRNA from 1 species